AACGAACGCUGGCGGCAUGCCUAACACAUGCAAGUCGAACGAGACCUUCGGGUCUAGUGGCGCACGGGUGCGUAACGCGUGGGAACCUGCCCUUAGGUUCGGAAUAACUCCCCGAAAGGGGUGCUAAUACCGGAUAAUGUCUUCGGACCAAAGAUUUAUCGCCUUUGGAUGGGCCCGCGUUGGAUUAGCUAGUUGGUAGGGUAAAAGCCUACCAAGGCGACGAUACAUAGCUGGUCUGAGAGGAUGAUCAGCCACACUGGGACUGAGACACGGCCCAGACUCCUACGGGAGGCAGCAGUGGGGAAUAUUGGACAAUGGGCGAAAGCCUGAUCCAGCAAUGCCGCGUGAGUGAUGAAGGCCUUAGGGUUGUAAAGCUCUUUUACCCGGGAUGAUAAUGACAGUACCGAGAGAAUAAGCUCCGGCUAACUCCGUG
rnacentral:rRNA from 1 species